GCGCCUGCAGCGGACCUUUGAUGCCCUCAGCUUCCCAAGCUGAGGGCGCGAGUUCGAUUCUCGUCACCCGCUCCA
rnacentral:tRNA from 1 species